GACGAACGCUGGCGGCGUGCUUAAUACAUGUAAGUCGAGCGGAGCGGCGGACGGGGGAUUAAUGCCUAGGAAUUUGCAUGGUAGUGGGGGAUAACGACGGGAAACGGGAGCUAAUACAGCAUACUAUCAAAUGAGCAUAGGUCGGAUUAGCUCGUUGGUGGGGUAAAGGCCUACCAAGGCGACGAUCCUUAAAUGGGCUGAGAGGAUGAUCAGUCACACUGGAACUGAGACACGGUCCAGACUCCUACGGUGGGCAGCAGUGGGGAAUAUUGGACAAUGGGCGAAAGCCUGAUCCAGCCAUGCCGCGUGUGUGAAGAAGGUCUUCGGAUUGUAAAGCACUUUAAGUUGGGAGGCGUUACCAACAGAAUAAGCACCGGCUAACUUCGUGCCAGCAGCCGCGGUAAUAC
rnacentral:rRNA from 1 species